ACUUCUAUAAUUUUAAAUUUAAAAUUUUAAAUUGAUAUUUUAAAUUUAUAAUUUGAUAAUUUAAAUUUUUAAAUUUAGAUUUAAUCUUAAAUUUAAAUUUUGGAAUUUUUAAAUUUGAGAUUUAAAAAUUUUAAUUUAAAUUUUGAAUUUUUGAAAUUUAAAAGUUAUAUAUUUAAAUUUAAAAAUUUAGAUAUUAUAUUUAAAUUUUAAAAUUUAAAUAUAAUGUAAGUGGCAAUAUCAUUAUUUUCUAUUUAUAACCAUCCACCGGUUUUCUUAUUCUAUCUUAUCUAUCUAAACGUUAUUUUUCUUAUUUCCGGAAACAACUUAAUUUUCAUUCAAACACAAAAAUUGUCUAUUCCAAACUUGUACCUGAACUACACCUAUCUAUGGAAUAAGCAGUUCUUGUUUAUAUCCGAACCAAACGAAGCCUAAACUCCAAAUAUUACGUAAUAUUAUGAUAGAAAAAUAAUAAAAUACCGUAUUCAAAUACGGUGAAUGGUUCACCGUGUUUGACUUAACCUACACUGCCAUCCACGCUUGCUUAGCGCUUGUGUGACACUUAA
rnacentral:lncRNA from 1 species